rnacentral:lncRNA from 1 species
AAUAAUGCCCGCAAAAUCAUUUCUUCAUAUACAGUGUGUGUAUGUUUUUAUUUCAAUCUUUUUUUUAUUUUUUAUUAAUAUUUAUUAAUGCUGAUGUAUGGCUCACAUACAUACUUUUUCCUUCUUUUAAGAUGGUGCACUUGGAAAAAGGAAUAUUUAAUUGAGAAGAAUAUUUCUGUCCAUUUUUAAUGUUUUGUAUCAUUAACUCCAGCUGUUGUGGAUCAAGCAGAGGAAGUCAUAUCCUAUCCUGGUAAUGAAUUUACUAUCAUAUCCAAUUAUAUCUUAAAGUAUGAUUUUUUCUUUUCUUUUCUUUUUUCUCCUGUUUUUGGCCAUCAUCAACAGCUACUAACAUGGUGCAGUUAGGAAAGGAAUAUUAUUGUAUUUUCAUAGAAUGAUUAAAGCAUUCCCUAAUGUCUUAAUAGAGAUAACGAUGUAACCAGAUGUAGAAUGAACACUAAUUUUUCUUGUUCUGCAGAUCAAACUACAUCUGACAAAAGUUUAACAGCAGAUGUUAUGGAGCAAGUAGAAGUUUUAUCCUCCAGUCCUGAAGCAUGCUGCCACAAUGAAAAUUGGGAAGGUGAUUCCCAAGAGGAUCCUGCAAUUCCCCUUAUUUCAAAGUCUUAUGAAACUUGAAAGUGACAACAAGGCAUUGUCAUGUUCAUUGGUGCAAUAUAUAGUAAUCUACAUCCUCAACCCUAGUAGGUAUUUGGUAAGUCAAGAUAUUUCCAUUUACAUAGUAAUUGUACAUUUGAAUCUGUUUCAUUAACAAGUAUUGCACAAUAAUAAUUUUGCAGAUAAUGUAUUC